GCAGGGGGAACCGGAUGGCGGCGGCGGCAUGAUCUCCGGUAAGCGGUGGGGCCGGGAUCCGAUGGCGGCGGCAAGCUCCUGUAAAUAGGCGGUGAUCGAGAGAGAGGGAUUGAGAGAAAGCGAGAUGCAGGGGAGAGAGAUGGGAAGGAAGGAGAAGAAGAUGAGCAUGGGCAGUGGGGCGUACGAGACACAGAGGGCGGAGGGAAGGAGGAUAAGGACAAAUGGCAGGGGCGGCCUGUGUGAUUGCUUCGGUGAUGGCGUCCGGCGUCGGUUCAUACCUCGGCGCGCAGCCGCAAUCCCUCCCCUCCACCGUCUCCAAGUGGUGUAGGCUGCUGCAAUCUCGCUAUCUCAGCGAUGUCCCAGCUGUGCGCCAGAGCCAGCCAACAAGACCACUAUGUAGCUCAGGCCCAGAAUUGGUCAAUUUUAUGCAACUGCAAUACACAACGACACACAAAAUAGAUGCUCCUAGGCUUGAUCUUUCAACUGCAACUAAACAUACUCGCCCAAUACUUAUUAUCGCACUUUUCUCAACUAAACAUACUCUGUCCCGUGAGGAGGAUUUCAGGGGAGAUCGACUACUGUAAGUCUGCGACGAUAACAAGAGGGUGAUAUUUGAGCUGGACUCUUGCGAACAACAGGUUCAGGAGCUCCAAGCCAACCCGGUCAAAAAAAAACGGCCAUUGCCUUGAAAAAGAUUGCGACAUUUCUUAUGGAUGGUCAGGUCGACACCGGCAACAUCGUCUUCAUUGUACCAAGGUUCUGCUGCUCCUACAACGGCAACCUUCUACUUCCCGAACAUGACCAUUGCAGCUAUCCUUGUUGCUGUAAAUUUUGUUUCUUUUCUUUCCCAUAAAUUAUGGAUAUAUGGGCAUUCUGAUCAGGUAAUGUUCUUCUCUAAGAUUUGAUAUUUGAAGCAUGAUGUUUGCGAUCAGGUAAUUUUCCUAGGGUCCUUCAGAUGUCGAUGUCGAUGUUGAUGGAAAAUACACAUGUUGCAUACCUUUUUUGAAAUCAGAAGUGGAUACUAACAUUUCACAUCAUGAUAUUGUAGUUUAUAGUGCUAAGCUUGACUCCUCCAUGGAUAAUAGGGGUGCACUACUUUGUUGGGAGGGAGAUAAUUGGUUGAACGGAUAGCGUCGAUGCCUUGCAAAGUUCCGCAGAGAACAAGCUAUCUUGGAAUUUCUUUCAAAUGCAGAAAGUUUCGAGCAAGCAAAACUAUACUCUGUAAAUAAUCUUCCUGAACCAGAGUUCUUAAUUUUUCUUUCUAUUUUUACCUUUUCCUGUACUGGAUUUUAAUGUACUGAACACUCUCCUUAAUCAAUGGGAGCAACACCUGAUUGCCUUCAUAUAAAGAAACACAAUGUAAACA